rnacentral:rRNA from 1 species
GGUUGAUCCUGCCAGUAGUCAUAUGCUCAUUUCUAAGACUAAGCCAUGCACGUCUAAGUAUAAGUUGAUGUACGACGAAACUGCGAAUUGCUCAUUAAAACAAUUAUAGUCUUUGUGGGUGUAAUUUUUACACGGAUACCUGUGGUAAUUCUGGAGCUAAUACGUGAGUUAGCAUCCUUUUGGAUGUCACUUAUUAGAUAAGAACCAAACUAUGUUAGCAUAGGGGUCUGGUGAUCCAUAAUAAGGUCGAGAAUUGCAUGGCAUCCGCCGGCAAUAUUCCGCUUGAGUUUUU